AUUCUUCAACCCAAUUGUUUAUUAAAAGCAAUUGGUGUUUGGAUUCUGAGCGCUGCUGGCUUCGGCCUAGCUCGUUCGUAAUACAUUAGCAUCCCUCAUACAAGUUUGGAUUGACUUGGCGUAAUAGACUAUUCGCUAAGGAUUCAAUGUUCGCAUUGAGCCAACUUAAUGAAGGAAGCUACUAAUCACAAAGUCUACCUUUAG
rnacentral:misc_RNA from 1 species